GAUGAACGCUGGCGGCGUGCCUAAUACAUGCAAGUCGAGCGGCAGCGCGUCUAGUUUACUAGAUGGCGGCGAGCGGCGGAUGGCUGAGUAACGCGUGGGAACGUGCCCCAAAGUGAGGAAUAACUGCCCGAAAGGGUGGCUAAUACCGCAUAGUCUCUUAGGAGUAAAGCAUUUAUGCGCUCUGGGAGCGGCCCGCGUGCGAUUAGAUAGUUGGUGAGGUAAAGGCUCACCAAGUCGACGAUCGCUAACUGGUUUGAGAGGAUGAUCAGUCAGACUGGAACUGAGACACGGUCCAG
rnacentral:rRNA from 1 species